rnacentral:rRNA from 1 species
CCUACGGGGGGCAGCAGUGGGGGAUAUUGCACAAUGGGGGGAACCCUGAUGCAGCGACGCCGCGUGGGUGAAGAAGCGCCUCGGCGCGUAAAGCCCUGUCAGCAGGGAAGAAAAUGACGGUACCUGAAGAAGAAGCCCCGGCUAACUACGUGCCAGCAGCCGCGGGAAUACGUAGGGGGCAGGCGGUAUCCGGAUUUACUGGGUGUAAAGGGGGCGCAGACGGCGAUGCAAGCCAGGCGUGAAAGCCCGGGGCCCAACCCCGGGACUGCUCUUGGAACUGCGUGGCUGGAGUGCAGGAGGGGCAGGCGGAAUGCCUGGUGUAGCGGUGAAAUGCGUAGAUAUCAGGAGGAACACCGGUGGCGAAGGCGGCCUGCUGGACUGCAACUGACGUUGAGGCCCGAAAGCGUGGGGAGCAAACAGGAUUAGAUACCCUAGUAGUC